rnacentral:rRNA from 1 species
AACAAACGCUGGCGGCGUGCCUAAUACAUGCAAGUCGAACGGGGAAAGCUUUCGGGUGAGUACUAGUGGCGCACGGGUGAGGAACGCGUGGAUAAUCUGCCUUAGAGUGGGGGACAACUAGUCGAAAGAUUAGCUAAUACCGCAUAAGACCACAGGAGCUGCGGCUCAAGGGGUCAAAGGUUUUUCGCUCUAAGAUGAGUCCGCGUAAGAUUAGCUAGUUGGUGAGGUAACGGCUCACCAAGGCGACGAUCUUUAACUGGUCUGAGAGGAUGAUCAGUCACACGGGAACUGAGACACGGUCCAGACUCCUACGGGGGGCAGCAGUAGGGAAUAUUGCACAAUGGAGGAAACUCUGAUGCAGCGGCGCCGCGUGAGUGAUGAAGGCCUUCGGGUCGUAAAGCUCUGUCGCAGGGGAAUAACACAAUGAAGGUACCCUGUAAGAAAGGAUCGGCUAACUUCGUGCCAGCAGCCGCCGUAAAAC